rnacentral:rRNA from 1 species
AUUGAACGCUGGCGGCAGGCCUAACACAUGCAAGUCGAGCGGAUGAAGGGAGCUUGCUCCUGGAUUCAGCGGCGGACGGGUGAGUAAUGCCUAGGAAUCUGCCUGGUAGUGGGGGAUAACGUCCGGAAACGGGCGCUAAUACCGCAUACGUCCUGAGGGAGAAAGUGGGGGAUCUUCGGACCUCACGCUAUCAGAUGAGCCUAGGUCGGAUUAGCUAGUUGGUGGGGUAAAGGCCUACCAAGGCGACGAUCCGUAACUGGUCUGAGAGGAUGAUCAGUCACACUGGAACUGAGACACGGUCCAGACUCCUACGGGAGGCAGCAGUGGGGAAUAUUGGACAAUGGGCGAAAGCCUGAACCAGCCAUGCCGCGUGUGUGAAGAAGGUCUUCGGAUUGUAAAGCACUUUAAGUUGGGAGGAAGGGCAUUAAGUUAAUACCUUGCUGUUUUGACGUUACCAACAGAAUAAGCCCCGGCUAACUUCGUG